UAAGGAGGAUCCGAGCGUUAUCCGGAUUCAUUGGGUUUAAAGGGUGCGUAGGUUGUUUUAUAAGUUAGCGGUGAAAUACCGAUGCUCAACAUCGGGGCUGCCGCUGAUACUGUAGGACUAGAGAUCGGAUGCAGCAGGCGGAAUGUGUAGUGUAGCGGUGAAAUGCUUAGAGAUCAUACAGAACACCGAUUGCGAAGGCAGCUUACCAAACUAUAUCUGACGUUGAGGCACGAAAGCGUGGGUAGCAAACAGG
rnacentral:rRNA from 1 species